CUACGGGGUGCAGCAGUGGGGAAUAUUGGACAAUGGGCGCAAGCCUGAUCCAGCAAUGCCGCGUGAGUGAAGACGGCCUUAGGGUUGUAAAACUCUUUCGCUAGGGAAGAUAAUGACUGUACCUAGUAAAGAAGUCCCGGCUAACUCCGUGCCAGCAGCCGCGGUAAUACGGAGGGGACUAGCGUUGUUCGGAAUUACUGGGCGUAAAGAGUUCGUAGGCGGACUGACAAGUUAGAGGUGAAAUCCCAGGGCUUAACCCUGGAACUGCCUUUAAAACUGUCAGUCUAGAGACCGGAAGAGGUUAGGGGAAUACCUAGUGUAGAGGUGAAAUUCGUAGAUAUUAGGUGGAACACCAGUGGCGAAGGCGCCUAACUGGUCCGGUACUGACGCUGAGGAACGAAAGCGUGGGGAGCAAACAGGAUUAGAUACCCCCGUAGUC
rnacentral:rRNA from 1 species